GAUGAACGCUGGCGGCGUGCCUAAUACAUGCCAGUCGAGCGAACAGACGAGGAGCUUGCUCCUUUGACGUUAGCGGCGGACGGGUGGGUAACACGUGGAUAACCUACCUAUAAGACUGGGAUAACUUCGGGAAACCGGAGCUAAUACCGGAUAACAUGUUGAACCGCAUGGUUCAACAGUGAAAGACGGUCUUGCUGUCACUUAUAGAUGGAUCCGCGCCGCAUUAGCUAGUUGGUAAGGUAACGGCUUACCAAGGCAACGAUGCGUAGCCGACCUGAGAGGGUGAUCGGCCACACUGGAACUGAGACACGGUCCAGACUCCUACGGGAGGCAGCAGUAGGGAAUCUUCCGCAAUGGGCGAAAGCCUGACGGAGCAACGCCGCGUGAGUGAAGAAGGUCUUCGGAUCGUAAAACUCUGUUAUUAGGGAAGAACAAAUGUGUAAGUAACUAUGCACGUCUUGACGGUACCUAAUCAGAAAGCCACGGCUAACUACGUG
rnacentral:rRNA from 1 species